AGAACGAACGCUGGCGGCAUGCCUAAUACAUGCAAGUCGAACGAACACUUCGGCGUUAGUGGCGCACGGGUGCGUAACGCGUGGGAAUCUGCCCUUGGGUUCGGAAUAACAGUUGGAAACGACUGCUAAUACCGGAUGAUAUCGAAAGAUCAAAGAUUUAUCGCCCAGGGAUGAGCCCGCGUAGGAUUAGCUAGUUGGUGAGGUAAAGGCUCACCAAGGCGACGAUCCUUAGCUGGUCUGAGAGGAUGAUCAGCCACACUGGGACUGAGACACGGCCCAGACUCCUACGGGAGGCAGCAGUAGGGAAUAUUGGACAAGUGGGACGCAAGGCCUAGAUCCAAG
rnacentral:rRNA from 1 species